GGGGGGGGGGGGGGGGGGGGGGGGGGCGGGCGGGGGGGACGGGGGGGGCGGGGGGGGGGGGGGUGCUCGGGGGGCGGGCGGGGGAGGGGCGCGUGGGGACCCUGCCCUGGACUUUGGGGGAGCUUCGGGGAACUGGGGCCCGUACCGGAUAGGAGCCCCCGCUGCGUUGUGCGGGUUGGCAAGACUCGGCGGUUGGGGAUGGACUCGCGGCUUAUCAGCUUGUUGGUGGGGUAGUGGCUUACCAAGGCUUUGACGGGUAGCCGGCCUGAGAGGGUGACCGGCCACAUUGGGACUGAGAUACGGCCCAGACUCCUACGGGAGGCAGCAGUGGGGAAUAUUGCACAAUGGGCGGAAGCCUGAUGCAGCAACGCCGCGUGCGGGAUGACGGCCUUCGGGUUGUAAACCGCUUUCGCCUGUGACGAAGCGUGAGUGACGGUAAUGGGUAAAGAAGCACCGGCUAACUACGUG
rnacentral:rRNA from 1 species